rnacentral:tRNA from 1 species
GCCCGCUUAGCUCAGAGGUUAGAGCAUCGCAUUUGUAAUGCGAUGGUCAUCGGUUCGACCCCGAUAGCCGGCU